AAGACUCUACUUGACUAGCUGAGAGGAGGUGCAUGGCCGUCGUCAGUUCGUACUGUGAAGCAUCCUGUUAAGUCAGGCAACGAGCGAGACCCACGCCAACAGUUGCCAGCUCGUCCUCCGGGAUGGUGGGGGACACUGUUGGGACCGCCUCUGCUAAAGAGGAGGAAGGAAUGGGCAACGGUAGGUCAGCAUGCCCCGAAUUAUCUGGGCUACACGCGGGCUACAAUGGGUGGGACAAUGGGUAUCGACACCGAAAGGUGAAGGCAAUCUCCUAAACCCAUCCGUAGUUCGGAUUGUGGGCUGCAACUCGCCCACAUGAAGCUGGAAUCUGUAGUAAUCGUGUCUCAAAAUGGCACGGUGAAUAUGUCCCUGCUCCUU
rnacentral:rRNA from 1 species